GAUGAACGCUAGCUCCAGGCUUAACACAUGCAAGUCGAGUGACCGGCGCCCGGGUGAGUAACACGUAUCCAACCUGCCCUUUACCCGUUGAUAACCUUUCGAAAGAAAUAUUAAUACCCGAUAUACACGAUUGGGAUGCGUUACAUUAGGUUGUUGGUGAGGUAACGGCGCACCCAGCCUUCGAUGGAUAGGGUUUCUGAUAGGAAGGGCCACCACGUUGGAAACGGGACACGGUCGAAAAUAAUACGGGAGGAAGCAGUGAUGAAGACUGGUCACUGGGAGCUGGCCUGACCCGGCCAAGUAGAGUGAAGGAUGAAGGAUUAUGGGUGGUAAAUUUCUUUUGUGUAAGAAUAUGUAUUAUAUGAAUAAGGAUCGGCUAACUCCGUGCCAGCAGCCGCGGUAAUUC
rnacentral:rRNA from 1 species